GAUCAGUGGCUCAGGACGAACGCUGGCGGCGUGCCUAACACAUGCAAGUCGAGCGAGGAGAUCCUUCGGGAUGAUCCUAGCGGCGGACGGGUGAGUAACACGUGGGCAACCUGCCUCAUAGAGAGGAAUAGCCUUCCGAAAGGGAGAUUAAUACCUCAUAACAUUGCAGUUUCGCAUGGAACAGCAAUUAAAGGAGCAAUCCGCUAUGAGAUGGGCCCGCGGCGCAUUAGCUAGUUGGUGAGGUAACGGCUCACCAAGGCGACGAUGCGUAGCCGACCUGAGAGGGUGAUCGGCCACAUUGGGACUGAGACACGGCCCAGACUCCUACGGGAGGCAGCAGUGGGGAAUAUUGCACAAUGGGGGAAACCCUGAUGCAGCCAACGCCGCGUGAGUGAUGACGGCCUUCGGGUUGUAAAGCUCUGUCUUCAGGGACGAUAAUGACGGUACCUGAGGAGGAAGCCACGGCUAACUACGUGCCAGCAGCUGC
rnacentral:rRNA from 1 species